AGUGAACGCUGGCGGUAGACCUAACACAUGCAAGUCGAACGGCAGCACAGUAAGAGCUUGCUCUUACGGGUGGCGAGUGGCGUACGGGUGAGGAAUACAUCGGACUCUACUUUUUCGUGGGGGAUAACGUAGGGAAACUUACGCUCAUACCGCAUACGACGUACGGGUGAAAGCAGGGGAUCGUCGGACCUUGCGCGAUUGAAUGCGCCGAUGUCGGAUUAGCUAGUUGGCGGGGUAAAGGCCCACCAAGGCGACGAUCCGUAGCUGGUCUGAGAGGAUGAUCAGCCACACGGGAAGGGAGACACGGUCCAGACUCCUACGGGAGGCAGCAGUGGGGAAUAUUGGACAAUGGGCGCAAGCCUGAUCCAGCCAGACCGCGUGGGUGAAGAAGGCCUUCGGGUUGUAAAGCCCUUUUGUGGGGAAAGAAAAGCAGCAGGUUAAUACCCCGCUGUUCUGACGGUACUGAAAGAAUAAGCACCGGCUAACUACGUG
rnacentral:rRNA from 1 species